UAUGAAGAAGCAAUAUCUCCCUUAAUCCGCUCGGGGAAUAUAAAGCUUCGAGUAAUUGUUCGCGAUACCUUUCCGCUACGACUCAUUGUCAGACAUGCCAGCUUGUCAGCUUUUAUGACGCUCAAAUGAUAUGGAUCGCAAUAUUGUACGCAGUAACAUCAGGAGAGCUGUAUUGUGAAUGUUCAUUAGCCACCACUGUGACCGCACGCUAUUGUGUUUCAGAGAUUUGUACCCGUCACAAAAAAAAGAAAGAAAAACGGAAAAGAAAAACACUAUACAGACUAGGAACAAAAUUCUAAAUGUAUUCUCCCGAGUUAAUUUGUUCAUAUGCAAACCUUUUGUUUUUAGCCCUUCUUUUUUUUUUUUUUUUUUUUUUUUUUUUUUUUUUUUUUUUUUUUUUUUUUUUUUUUUUUUUUUUUUUUUUUAUAAUCUCAUCUUUUUGUUUUUUUCUUCGAUUCUGUUUUCGCACGCGAUCAAUUUCACGUUAUCGAACGUACAUAACAACACAGAGGGGGUGGUGUUCUCAAGUUACAGAAAUGCUUAAAAAUUUCAGAUACAAAAAACAUUCGAUCAACACAUACGAUCAGAUAAGGAUCAUACGAUUUCUUAUGAUUUUUCAUUUUUCUUUUUUCUUUUCUUUUUUUUUUUUUAUUCUUUUAUUUUCUUUUUAUCUUUUAAUUUCAUGCAAUCCGAACAAUAUCGUGCGAUUGUCUCAAAAUAUGACACUUAUUGCUUUGCGAAUGAAAAGGUUUUAAAGUGCACAUAUUCAUGUAUAAAACAUUAGAAACAAAUAUACGGUAUUGUACGACUUGCAUUUACAAGAGAAUUCGUAUUUCAAAAGCUUCUUUUUUUUCUCUCUUUCUUUGUCAAAGGAUAAACCAAUUCCGUUUGAACGUGUCAUGAAGAAUUUGUUGCAUUGUUUGUGAACAAUACGGAAAAGGGUACAAUUUGCAAAAUAUAUGUGUUUCUUUCGAGGUACCGUCGCUGAGGAAUAUUCGACGUUCAGAUACUAUUAAAAUGAGAUUUUGGAAAAUGAAUUACCAUAGUUGUUAUAAAUAGAAUGUUGACGGUACUUUUUUUACGAAUUCUUUUCUUUUUUUUUCACCUUCUUCUUCUUUUUAAUAGUCUCUGCACGGAUUGUUGGAGAUGUUGUCCCAACAUUAUGAACGAGCUGCGUGAACUACAAAAUAUUUUUCGGACAUGCGUUCGAGACCAAAUAUGUUUUUCGCCUAUUGUAAAAGUAUGUUUUAUUUUAUAGUGUUGCAGCUCGUUGGCAUUGGUUGUUAAAACCAAUGAAAAUUGCAACGAAGGUACGAGAUUGUUUCACGAAUAUAACAUUCCACAGUCUCGUAAAGAUGUUAUUUCCUUCACUACACAUACGAAGUGAAUCGUAUAUACUUAAAGAUUAUUAUUAACCCUUAGGAUGAUGACAAGGGUUUUUCCCUUACGUAUCCCAUAAUCCAGAUAUUAACACAUCGCUACAAAGGUGCCCUCACACAAUUGUUUCCACAUCAAGGGUAUUUCCUUCUCCAAGAUGAGGUAUAGGAACUUCACUUGGAAAUAUUAUCUAUGCGACAGACAUGAGGGAACACUCGCAAGAUGGUAAAGAACAAAGUUACUAUAUGACUCUUGUACAAGCAAUCCCAUAAACGCUUCAAAAAGAAAUACAUGUAUGUAUAUAUGUAUUACAUGCAUUCUAUGGUUUUACAGAUUCAGAUUCCAUGUACAACAUAGAGCAUGACGUAACUUUAAAG
rnacentral:misc_RNA from 1 species